rnacentral:tRNA from 1 species
GCCUGGGUGGCUCAGUCGGUUAAGCGUCUGACUUCGGCUCAGGUUGUGAUCUCAUGGUUCAUGGGUUCAAGCCCCAUGUCAGGCU